UGUUGCGCUUCUCGCCGGAACUCCAAUGUUAGUUCGGAGGGAUGCGAGACCUUAGUCUCCAGAGGAUCUGCUUUAGGUCUGCAGGUUACCACCAGGCGAGACCGCAAGGGCCUCAGUUGCUUCAGGUGAGUCGCCCAGAAGACGAGAAAAAAAAUGCGUGAUGAACUUCUACAAGUAAUAUCCAAGGUGUGGUGGGAUUUCCUUUCUGCUUGCAAUCAUUGGAAAAUACUUGCUUAAUGAUAUAUCACUAGAAUAUAGGUUCCUAUAAGCUCCCCUUUGGAGACAAGCAUAACUGUGCCUGGUAUUAAAGCCUAAUAUCCUUCAUAGAUGAAAUCACUUAUAUUUGAAUAAAGAAAAAGGCGGUCA